AAAAACAAUUUUUUUUUGAGCUGCGCGGUUGGGUCGCUGCUGCUGCGCGCGUCGUCGAAUAAACAAAUUGAAAACAAAAUUUUUUCUAGUGUACAAUAAAAGUGUACAAUACUCAGUUUUGCUCGUCAGUGUCUCAUAUCGAUAUCACAUCGCUUAAACGAGGAACAGAAAACAGAAACAAAAGGAAAGAAAAAAAAGAGAAGAAAAUGUGCGGCGUUUGAAGAGGCCAAAGCAGAUGUUGAAAACUGUGUAAACUUGUGCAAAGAGAGAGCAAGAGAGACACCCGGACGGACAGUGAAAGAUAGUUUAAUUCGGAUUGGAAACAACCGCGCGGUCUUAAAAGCAGAAUUACGGUUAGAAGACGCCCGCCCGCGUGUGAUCGAAAAAGUUGGAGGCGCCGCUGCACUGAUAGUGCAAUAUUAAAAGAGCCAGAGAAACGUGACCCAGGCAAUUGUUUGUUUGCUACAUAUAUGCGAGUAUAUAUGUAUGUGCCAAUGUGUGUGAGUGUGAGAGCCCAGCAGCAAUCGUAGUAAAUAGUAUUCGGCCCGUCGCGUUUUUUUUUUGUGUGUUCGCCUGCUGCAACAAUAAUUACAAUAAAAAGUUCCAAUUUACGGUUGGGCCUCUCUUCUAUCGCCUUGUUAUCGCCAAAUCUCUCUCACACACACAGCGUGCUUUCGAUAUUUUAAAUCCCCACCCGCGCCCCUUCCCCAACAUCCAACAUACAAAAACGCACACACGGAAGAGUCGCCUCAGUCGGCAUCAACAAAAAACCGCUGUCGACGUCGCUGUCACUGUCGCCGUCGCCGUGCAGUAAACGUGCAUAUUUUAAGUUGCCAAAAUGUCCUCAACUCUCGUUUAAAUAAUCUAUAAAGAAAAAGUGUGAAAAAGAAAAGAAGGCCAACAACGGUGGAACGAAGGAAAGCACAGCGCGGAAAGAAAGGAAAACAACAAAUGGCUCACAAUUGAAAGGCGGCCAUCGUGGCCCCCAGCGGCAUCCAUUGAGCAAUCAACACCAUUUCUCCCACAUCAAAUCAUCAGGCACCACCACCAUUACCACGGACACCACCUCAGACACCGCCAACGCCACUGCCACCAGCAACCAGCAGCAACCAAACAGCUAAACCAGCAGCCAGCAGCCAGCAGCCAGCAGCCAGCAACCAGCAACCAGCAUCUCCUCCACCAGCACGCACCACUCCACCACAGUCCACUGAGCUCCAUCUGCCUCCAGCGACGGCAAGCAGCAACCAGCAACCAGAACCAGAAUCGAAAGCGGAAUCGGACUCUGAAUCUGAAUCAGAAUCAGCGACACUGCGAGUGCAGCUGCUCAAAUUAUUUAAACCACUCGCCGCCGUAGUCCAUCAAUGAGCGUUUCGAUGUCACUGGUACAGGGUGGUGCUGCCGGUGGUGCGCCUCAGGGCGCCAGCGCAAUAUUGGCCGCAGCGGCCCCGUACUACCAGCCGCCAGCGGUGCCGCAGGAUGUCCAGCCGGAUCGUCCCAUCGGCUAUGGUGCAUUCGGAGUAGUAUGGGCUGUCACAGAUCCUCGGGACGGCAGACGCGUGGCCCUCAAGAAGCUGCCAAAUGUGUUCCAGUCUUUGGUCUCAUCGAAGCGCGUGUUCCGUGAGCUGAAAAUGCUGUGCUUUUUCAAGCACGAGAAUGUUCUUUCGGCCCUGGACAUCUUGCAGCCGCCACAUUUGGAUUUCUUUCAGGAAAUCUAUGUGAUAACGGAGCUGCUGCAAUCGGAUCUGCACAAGAUAAUCGUGUCGCCGCAGCACCUAUCCGCCGACCACAUCAAGGUGUUCCUGUACCAGAUACUGCGCGGCCUCAAGUAUCUGCACUCGGCCCGCAUCCUGCAUCGCGACAUCAAGCCGGGCAACCUCCUGGUCAACUCGAACUGCGUGCUCAAGAUAUGCGACUUCGGGUUGGCCCGCGUGGAGGAGCCGGACCAGGCGAAGCACAUGACCCAGGAGGUGGUCACCCAGUACUACCGCGCCCCGGAGAUCCUGAUGGGGGCGCGGCACUACUCGUCGGCGGUGGACGUGUGGUCGGUGGGCUGCAUAUUCGGGGAGCUGCUCGGCCGGCGCAUCCUGUUCCAGGCGCAGAACCCCGUCCAGCAGCUGGAGCUGAUCACGGAGCUGCUGGGCACCCCCACCAUGGAGGACAUGCGGCACGCCUGCGAGGGGGCACGGACCCACAUGCUGCGGCGCGCCCCCAAGCCGCCAUCCUUCUCGGUGCUGUACACCCUCAGCUCCCAUGCCACACACGAGGCGGUGCACCUGCUCUGCCAGAUGCUGGUCUUCGAUCCGGACAAGCGAAUUUCCGUCACAGACGCCCUGGCGCAUCCGUAUCUGGACGAAGGACGGCUGCGCUACCACUCGUGCAUGUGCAAAUGCUGCUUCACUACCUCAGCCGGGAUGCGCCAGUACACAGCCGACUUCGAGCCCUCCGCCGGCCAGCCCUUCGACGAUCUAUGGGAGCGCAAGCUCACCUCCGUGCAGCAGGUCAAGGAGGAGAUGCACAAGUUCAUUGCCGAGCAGCUGCAGACGGGUCGGGUGCCGCUCUGCAUCAAUCCGCAGAGUGCGGCCUUCAAGAGCUUUGCCAGCCAAUGAGAAUGAGAAUAUCUACUACUACCACUACCACUACUACCACCACCACCACCACAAGUUGCACUGCUGCUCCUGCCGCUGCUCCACUCCGCCGCCGCCUACUUCUUCGCUGCCCUCAAAGAAUCGAAUCAAGACCAGAUCUCGAGAGUCCAAGAUCCUAGGCGCGCGAUCUCCUACUAGAACGAAUCGAAAUAGCAAUGCAGAAGUCAGAAGAAGAUCUAAUCGAUAUGCAUAAUCUGCCGAAUGAUCGAAGCAAAUGAAAGCCAAGCCAAGAUACAGAUACCAAGAUACCAAGAUACCAAGAUACAGAUACAGAAUGAGAUACAGAGGCCAAGGGCCGGGCAGCAGCUGUCUCUCGACUCCUCUUAGCUCGACUGUGGCCCAUCCUUCGGAACUGCCGCCGUCGCCGCAUCAAUGGGAAUGACGGCAAAAUGAGGCCAUUGCUGCCUAAAAUCGAAAUAAAAGCAAACACAAAAGCAAAAGCAAACCAACAGCCAAACCAUCAGGGAAGGAGCUAUCAGUCGCAAUCGCAAUCGGAGUCGCAGUCGCAGUCGGUGUCUCAGAACCUGAACCUGAACCUGAAACCAAUCCCAAGAGACAACCUAGACAAAAUUCAGCCAGGAACAACGAUUCAAUGAUGUUGUGCAAGCGCCAAACAACUUUUAAGUGGGCGUUCCGUCUGUUUAAAGCAUUCCACCACCGAAAUUAACAACUACAACAAAAGCAAAACAAAUCAUUAAUAAUACUGUAGACAAAAAAACCAACAAACAAACAAACAAAACAAACAAAUAACGUAACGUAACUCAACUGAAACUAGUCUAAACUGAAAAAAAAGGAAAAACAAAAAACAAAAACAAACAAUUGUAGUUAAAGUAGCAGCAGAUACGCAGGAAAAGAGGAAAAAACAAAGAAAACAAUUUCUACGCAUUACAAGCAAAGCGUAGCGUAUUAUAAA